rnacentral:rRNA from 1 species
AUGGCGAUUCUUGAAGCCACGCUCGUUCUCCUCCUCCUCCUUGUAGCACCGGCGGCCGGCUCCGACGACGCGCUCGCCGCGUCCUGCUCCGGCGCGCGCAGCUUCGCCGCCGACAGCCCCUUCGCCAGCAGCCUGCGCCAGCUGUUCUCGCUCCUCGAGACCAAGGCCCGGGCCAUCGGGUUCGACAUCGGCAGCUCCGGCGGCGUGCACGGCCUGGCGCUCUGCCGCGGGGACGUCGCCAGGGCGACGUGCGCCGAGUGCAUCCGCUCCGCGGGCGCCCAGGCCCGGCGCCUCUGCUCGUCCAAGAAGGACGCCGUCGUCUGGCUCGACGCCUGCAUGCUCCGCUACUCCGACGGGCACUUCUUCGGCGAGGUCGACGCCGGCCACAGCGCCGUGGUGCCGGGCGGCGUCCUGGGCGCGGCGAGGUCGGCCGAGUUCGACAACGAGGUCGCCGGCAUGAUGAAGAGGCUCACGAGGACGGCGUACCUCUCGCCGCUGCUGUUCGCCGCCGGGGCGGCCGAGGCGGUCGCCGGGACGCGGAGACUGCACGGGCUCGCCCAGUGCACCAAGGACCUGUCCGGUGGGGACUGCAAGCUGUGUCUAGAGGCCGCCAUUAGUAAGCUGCUGGCCAGAGGGUGCGCCAAGGAGGGAGGGAUGGUGUUAGGCGGAAGCUGCAGUUUGAGAUACGAUCUGUAUCCCAUUUUUGAUUCCUAG